rnacentral:rRNA from 1 species
UACGGAGGGUGCAAGCGUUAUCCGGAAUCAUUGGGUUUAAAGGGUCCGCAGGCGGGAAAAUAAGUCAGUGGUGAAAUCUCUCGGCUCACCCGAGAAACUGCCGUUGAUACUGUUUUUCUUGAAUUCGAUCGAAGUGGGCGGAAUGUGACAUGUAGCGGUGAAAUGCUUAGAUAUGUCACAGAACAACGAUAGCGAAGGCAGCUCACUAGGUCUGGAUUGACGCGCAGGGACGAAAGCGUGGGGAGCAAACAGG